CCGACCCAGAAUUCAGGGAGAGGGCUGUGGAGUCACAGCCACUGAACUCACCCUGGCUCCAUCCAGAAUGCUCUGGUCUGGGCUGUUUGUCUCAGAAAAAAGGACUGAAACAAGGAAGUACCUCCUGCUCAGCCCAUCAUGACAGAGUGUGAUUUUCUUCUUCGUGCCUGAGUCCCACCAUUCUCUACAGCUGUUGAAUGAGUUAAUGAAAAGUGCCAAGGGAAAGCAGACUGAGGAUGGAAAGUAGAACUGAAGAUCAAGGACUCUGGAGUCCUGCAGACAUGGGUUCAACUUAUGAGCAUGUGACCUUGGUUUCUUGACCUUGGAAGUUCAUUGACUUUUGCAAGCCUUUGUUUUCUCUUCUAAAAGAUCCACAGCAUUUUAUAAAACUUUCACCAUCCAUAAAAAAGCAAUAAUAAUAGUACCUUCCUUGAGGGGUUGUUGUUAAGGAUUGAGUGAGAAUUUUUUAAGUGUGAGCACAGUGUCUGAAACAUAACAAGUUCUCAACAAAAAGUUGGUUAUUACUACACUGCAUUUAAAGUUAAUGCUUUUAUUUACGAAUUAUUUGUAGUUGUUAACAGCAUAAUGAUCCAAAUAUAGUCAUUUCAUUGAUUUUUUUUUGGAUUAGUUUCUAUAGAGUUAGCUUCUUUAAGAAUAAUAUUUGUCUUAAUUUUAUAGUAUUUUAUACUUUUCAUAGAUAGCUUAUUUCAAUGACACAUGGCUUCGAUAGAAAGUCUAUAUAUUUCCUUGAAUCCUUUUAAAUUAUAUUUUUCUGAAAUGCUAACAACAAUGGUGGUUAGUAAGGCUGAAAAGGAGUUCCAUUUUGGUUAGUCCUGUAGUAAGGAAUUGGAUAUGAAAAGUUGGUCACAGGAAUUAGGCUGGAUACUGAAAGCAAAAUUCUCUUUACAAAGUAAAGGCACUAGAUUAAUCUUUGCCAGAUGUCAAAUAAUUAUUACAUAUGCUUUAAUACGGAAAGAUCUCGAGGGUAUGUUUGGUAAAAACUGCAGAGUGCAGAACAAUGUGGAAAAUACGUCUGGUACAUGUUUGAAAAUAAAUAUAAACAGAAAGUUAGAUUGAUAGGAAUCCAGAUAUUUAUAGAUAUAUGUGUAUGUUUAUAUAAGCCUAGAACAUUUCUGGAAGGAUUUACAAGAAACUGUUAGUAAUGAUUGUCCUGGAGAGAAUAACUGAAUAUUGAUGUUAGAAGAGAAAC
rnacentral:lncRNA from 10 species